AGUCGAACGGCAGCACAGUAAGAGCUUGCUCUUAUGGGUGGCGAGUGGCGGACGGGUGAGGAAUACAUCGGAAUCUACUCUGUCGUGGGGGAUAACGUAGGGAAACUUACGCUAAUACCGCAUACGACCUACGGGUGAAAGCAGGGGAUCUUCGGACCUUGCGCGAUUGAAUGAGCCGAUGUCGGAUUAGCUAGUUGGCGGGGUAAAGGCCCACCAAGGCGACGAUCCGUAGCUGGUCUGAGAGGAUGAUCAGCCACACUGGAACUGAGACACGGUCCAGACUCCUACGGGAGGCAGCAGUGGGGAAUAUUGGACAAUGGGCGCAAGCCUGAUCCAGCCAUACCGCGUGGGUGAAGAAGGCCUUCGGGUUGUAAAGCCCUUUUGUUGGGAAAGAAAUCCAGCCGGCUAAUACCUGGUUGGGAUGACGGUACCCAAAGAAUAAGCACCGGCUAACUUCGUGCCAGCAGCCGCGGUAAUACGAAGGGUGCAAGCGUUACUCGGAAUUACUGGGCGUAAAGCGUGCGUAGGUGGUCGUUUAAGCCCGUUGUGAAAGCCCUGGGCUCAACCUGGGAACUGCAGUGGAUACUGGACGACUAGAGUGUGGUAGAGGGUAGCGGAAUUCCUGGUGUAGCAGUGAAAUGCGUAGAGAUCAGGAGGAACAUCCAUGGCGAAGGCAGCUACCUGGACCAACACUGACACU
rnacentral:rRNA from 1 species